UGUUCGUUACAUUAUUUUAUUUUGUCUCACACUGCAGAAUAGAAUGAUUAAAGGAAACUUUCUUUGCUUUAUGAUAUUAAAGUGGAUCCCAGUGGGCACUGCAGAGUUGUAUUGACUUUUUUUUUGGUUGAAUUAU